AUUUGUAUAUCUAAAAAAUUGCCAUAUUGUGCUAUUUCUUUUAUUAGUAUGAAUAUUAUUCAUAUUUCUUAGAAAAUUCAGUUUCUAUGUCUAGGACUAGUUAAAAGAAAUGGUUAAUGAAGCAAGCCAAUCUUCAGGAUUAUUCCAUUUCCUUCAUUAUCUUACCCUUACUCAAUCUGUCUUUACCCACAUAGUGUCUCUGUGGGAUUCCUCUAAUACUAGACUAAUGUUGGUGUCAUAUUUUCAC
rnacentral:lncRNA from 1 species